UACAGGGGGUGCAAGCGUUAAUCGGAAUUACUGGGCGUAAAGCGAGCGUAGUCGGUUAUUUAAGUCGGGUGUGAAAGCCUCGGGCUCAACCUGGGAAUUGCAUUCGAUACUGGAUAGCUAGAGUUCGGCAGAGGGAAGCGGAAUUUCCGGUGUAGCGGUGAAAUGCGUAGAUAUCGGAAGGAACAUCAGUGGCGAAAGCGGCUUCCUGGACCAGAACUGACGAUCAGGCUCGAAAGCGUGGGGAGCAAACAGG
rnacentral:rRNA from 1 species